GACGAGCGCUGGCGGCGUGCCUAAUACAUGCAAGUCGAGCGAAGUUUUUCUGGUGCUUGCACUAGAAAAACUUAGCGGCGCACGGGUGAGUAACACGUAAAGAACCUGCCUCAUAGACUGGGACAACUAUUGGAAACGAUAGCUAAUACCGGAUAACAGUAUUUCUCGCAUGAGAGAUAUUUAAAAGUUGGUUAUGCUAACACUAUGAGAUGGCUUUGCGGUGCAUUAGCUAGUUGGUGGGGUAAAGGCCCACCAAGGCGACGAUGCAUAGCCGACCUGAGAGGGUGAUCGGCCACACUGGGACUGAGACACGGCCCAGACUCCUACGGGAGGCAGCAGUAGGGAAUCUUCCGCAAUGGGCGAAAGCCUGACGGAGCAACGCCGCGUGAGUGAAGAAGGAUUUCGGUUCGUAAAGCUCUGUUGUUAGGGAAGAAUGGAUAUGUAGUAACUAUACAUGUAAGAGACGGUACCUAACCAGAAAGCCACGGCUAACUACGUG
rnacentral:rRNA from 1 species